GUGCAUAUACAGGUAGUUAACGAAAUACGAAUUUUCACACUAGAUAUUUUGGUAAUAGUUUCUCCGGUGUAUUUGGAACCAUUCAAAUUGACAGAUUCCACAAUAAAUCUCUGAUCAUUUACAACAUAUACACCGCCAUCGAGUAACGAAGUUUUUGUAGAUUCUAACCUAACUUGUUGUUUUUCCUAAUCACACGAACGGGUUGAUUCGAAAGGUUCUACCACGAAAAUAAAGUCAGAAUUAGUCUAGAAGUAGAUCCGCGUUCAAUUCGAAUGAGGAAAGCUACGUGAUCUUCAUAUUUUCCUUAGGUUUAUCAAAAAUAAAAUUAAAUUCAGGAAGAGCUUCUCGGUACCAACUACUGCAAUUUUUCAAAUUAUGGAAAUUCUAAAGAGUCGUACAUCACUUUGAAAAUGUUAGUUUUAAUUUUAUCUUGAAAAAAAGUAAAUAGUAUUUAUAAACUGGAACCUAGUCGGCCAUUUUUUUAUACCGUAAACAAGAAUUUACCCAGACGCCCUCAGAAAGUUUCAAAUGCUUUUGAACGGAUAACCGUUUUCGAUAACACGAAACGAUGUUUAUUAAGUCAGCUGAUCCUUGUUUCUACGUCAUGAACAUCAUUAAAUAUACAUUUUUUGGAAAAAUCUGUUUUAAUUAGUUAUUCAGAACUGGGUUUUUAUAUCAUCAGAAUCAGUUCUGCGAUUCUUUUUCCUAGAGAUUCUGUUGAGUCCCGGAAAAGUUAGGUUAGAGUCCGAUAAAUAUUCGCGAUUUCGAUUGUGGUGAAAUGUGAUAGCAUUUUUUUAACAAUGCAAAUACUUGAAUUUCGUCCAUUGCCCUGGAAUUUGUAUUCCUUUAAAGAAAAAAUAGGGGCUUAUACUUGUUCUCGGCUGGACGAAAGAAGACUGCUGAAUCGUUUUUUGGAUGGAGAAACCUAAAGGAGCUGAAGUUUGGAAAGAAUGUUUAGGACUUGGAGCCCUGCAGCAUUGCGAUGUCUUCAGAAUUUGGAUGUAA